rnacentral:rRNA from 1 species
UACGUAGGGUGCAAGCGUUGUCCGGAAUUAUUGGGCGUAAAGAGCUUGUAGGCGGUUUGUCGCGUCUGCUGUGAAAUUUCGGGGCUCAACCCCGAACUUGCAGUGGGUACGGGCAGACUAGAGUGUGGUAGAGGAGACUGGAAUUCCUGGUGUAGCGGUGAAAUGCGCAGAUAUCAGGAGGAACACCGGUGGCGAAGGCGGGUCUCUGGCCCGGUACUGACGCUGAGGUGCGAAAGCGUGGGGAGCAAACAGG